rnacentral:rRNA from 1 species
UACGGAGGGGGCUAGCGUUGUUCGGAAUUACUGGGCGUAAAGGGUGCGUAGGCGGGUCUUUAAGUCAGGGGUGAAAUCCUGGAGCUCAACUCCAGAACUGCCUUUGAUACUGAAGAUCUUGAGUUCGGGAGAGGUGAGUGGAACUGCGAGUGUAGAGGUGAAAUUCGUAGAUAUUCGCAAGAACACCAGUGCGAAGGCGGCUCACUGGCCGAUACUGACGCUGAGCACGAAGCGUGGGAGCAACAGG